CGGAUGUUAUAAGCCACGGAACCAAACACCCUGAAAUCCCUCAAAAACCCUAGUAGAGAGAGAGUCGUACCAUAUAUAGCACCGCAUUCUUCAGCGCGACCAGAGGGAGAGAGAUCCAGAGAGAGCUCAACAAUGUCGAAGCGAGGUCGCGGUGGAUCCGCGGGGAACAAGUUUCGGAUGUCUCUGGGUCUGCCGGUGGCGGCUACGGUGAACUGCGCCGACAACACCGGAGCCAAGAACCUCUACAUCAUCUCCGUCAAGGGAAUCAAGGGCCGCCUCAACCGGCUGCCGUCUGCCUGCGUCGGCGACAUGGUCAUGGCCACCGUGAAGAAGGGAAAACCCGAUCUCAGGAAGAAGGUUAUGCCCGCAGUCAUCGUGCGCCAGAGGAAGCCCUGGCGCCGAAAGGACGGAGUCUACAUGUACUUUGAAGAUAAUGCCGGUGUCAUUGUGAAUCCCAAGGGAGAAAUGAAAGGAUCUGCCAUCACUGGCCCAAUUGGAAAAGAGUGUGCUGAUCUCUGGCCUAGAAUUGCAAGCGCUGCCAAUGCUAUUGUCUAAGAGUCUGAAUCCCAAAUGAUAGAGUAUCUUUGCUUUGUUGGACUUUUUAGAUUUUCUAGUUUAGUAGCAUGUUGAGAAUUUUGGAUAUUGUUGUUUGAGUAUGGCCAUUUGGGAAGUAUUAUUGUGUUUGAAAUCCUUGUCUAGGACACACUGUUGAUCAUAUAAUGAUGUUUUGUUUUUUAAAACAGUUAAGCCAUUGCUUGAGAUUCGUA